rnacentral:rRNA from 1 species
GAUGAACGCUGGCGGCGUGCCUAAUACAUGCAAGUCGAGCGAACAGACGAGGAGCUUGCUCCUCUGACGUUAGCGGCGGACGGGUGAGUAACACGUGGAUAACCUACCUAUAAGACUGGGAUAACUUCGGGAAACCGGAGCUAAUACCGGAUAAUAUAUUGAACCGCAUGGUUCAAUAGUGAAAGACGGUUUUGCUGUCACUUAUAGAUGGAUCCGCGCCGCAUUAGCUAGUUGGUAAGGUAACGGCUUACCAAGGCGACGAUGCGUAGCCGACCUGAGAGGGCGAUCGGCCACACUGGAACUGAGACACGGUCCAGACUCCUACGGGAGGCAGCAGUAGGGAAUCUUCCGCAAUGGGCGAAAGCCUGACGGAGCAACGCCGCGUGAGUGAUGAAGGUCUUCGGAUCGUAAAACUCUGUUAUUAGGGAAGAACAAAUGUGUAAGUAACUAUGCACGUCUUGACGGUACCUAAUCAGAAAGCCACGGCUAACUACGUG